rnacentral:rRNA from 1 species
GACGAACGCUGGCGGCGCGCCUAACACAUGCAAGUCGAACGAGAGAGAGGGAGCUUGCUUCCUCGAUCGAGUGGCGAACGGGUGAGUAACGCGUGAGGAACCUGCCUCAAAGAGGGGGACAACAGUUGGAAACGACUGCUAAUACCGCAUAAGCCCACGGCUCGGCAUCGAGCAGAGGGAAAAGGAGCAAUCCGCUUUGAGAUGGCCUCGCGUCCGAUUAGCUAGUUGGUGAGGUAAUGGCCCACCAAGGCGACGAUCGGUAGCCGGACUGAGAGGUUGAACGGCCACAUUGGGACUGAGACACGGCCCAGACUCCUACGGGAGGCAGCAGUGGGGAAUAUUGCACAAUGGGGGAAACCCUGAUGCAGCGACGCCGCGUGGAGGAAGAAGGUCUUCGGAUUGUAAACUCCUGUUGUUGAGGAAGAUAAUGACGGUACUCAACAAGGAAGUGACGGCUAACUACGUGCCAGCAGCCGCCGUAA